GCAACGGCUUGUGUGUCUCCUUCUGGUUAAAUUCGUGUCUUUUCGCACGAAUUAAGUAGCACAGAAAUUCGUGUAUUUUCAAACGAAUUGAACCACCCCAAAACACCCCAAAAAUGCACAAAAACGCACGAAAUCUGCUGAAAUACAUUUUGUACAUAUAUGCGCGAAUUGAAUGUGAGACUGUGUUGCAGCCCGAGGUGAUAUAUCGUCGUCUAAUGGUGGAUUUAUGUUCUCCAAGACGAACUUUCAAGGCGCGAGAUGUUCUGCCAAAAUACUUCUCAUUACAAGAACACACACUAGUAUUCUACAAUGUAGAAAAUAGUACAAAUAAAGAGAAACCCUGGAAUUAGUAGGUUAGUCCAAACUUUUGACUGGUACUGAAUAUAUACACUGCUCAAAACAAUAAAGGGAACACUUAAACAACACAAUGUAACUCCAAGUCAAUCACACUUCUGUGAAAUCAAACUGUCCACUUAGGAAGCAACACUGAUUGACAAUAAAUUUCACAUGCUGUUGUGCAAAUGGAAUAGACAAAAGGUGAAAUAUUAUACAUAUAAAUAUUAAAAUAAAUAUUAUCUAAAUAUUUUGAAUUAAAUAAAUGGUUUUAAAAUUAAAAAAGGCUGUUAAUUAAGCGUAAGUGUCCGUAAGACCCAGACACACUUUUUUGUUUGGGGGGUAGGCCUCUGUUUUCCAGGAUAUUGUAAAGGGAGAGAGAGCCUUGAGCGCAACCGCAUAGCCAUUUAUGAACACACACCCCGCCCCGUUUUCUUUGUUUUGAAACACACACACAUCCACUACCGCACACGCACGCACACACACGCGCCCACAUGGCUUUUUCCUUAAGUUUUUUUCUCCGGGGGCAUGCUUGGUGAUAGAUGGAAAGGACUUAUUCCUAUCGUUUAAAGGUGAGAUACCAUUUAUUUAAUUCAAAAUAUUUAGUACGUACAGUUUAUAGCCGUUCAUAAUUAAUGUCUUUUACUAUGCCUUACUAUGCCUUUCUUCCAGAUACAGGUCCUGGUUAGCCCUUUUUCCGCAAGUCUUUUUCUCAGGGACAGACUGUGGUACCUUGCUUUUACACCUGCAUUGCUUGCUGUUUGGGGUUUUAGGCUGGGUUUCUGUACAGCACUUCGAGAUAUUAGCUGAUGUACGAAGGGCUAUAUAAAAUAAACUUGAUUGAUUGAUUGAUUGGUAAGAGUGAAAAACGAGAGAGUUCAGGACGUCGUUAGAUACUGCUUUUAAAAACAUCUUUAUUUCAUUCAAAAAAUCAUGUACAUACAAUUUAUAUCCGUUCAUAAUUAAGGUCUUUUACUAUGCCUUUCUUACAGAUACAGGGGCCUGGUAUAGCCAUCCACCAUUAUCCGUGUCCAAUUCCCCUUCAAACUGCCUGGCUCUCUUGCACGGUCCAUCAAAACUCCAAAGUCAGAGACCUACACGAUCAACAAGAGAAUGGGUGGAGAUGAAUCAAAAGCUCGAGCGGAUCAGGCAGAGAGAGACCGCAAUCAAGCCAGAACUGAUAAACAGAACAUGGAGAUGGACAAGCAGAAAGCGGAGAUGGACAAACAGAAAGCGGAGAUGGACAAACAGAAAGCGGAGAUGGACAAACAGAACAUGGAGAUGGAAAAGAGAAAGACUGAAGAGGAUUACAGGCAUGUCACACCCUGGCCUUAGUAUUCUUUGUUUUCUUUAUUAUUUUAGUUAGGUCAGGGUGUGACAUGGGGAAUGUAUGUGUUUUUGUAGUGUCUAGUGUGGUUGUAUGGUUUAGGGGGUUUUAUAGAGUAGAUGGGUUUGUGUUUAGUAUAGGUGUCUAGCUGUGUCUAUGGUUGCCUGAAUGGUUCUCAAUCAGAGACAGAUGUCAUUAAUUGUCUCUGAUUGGGAGCCAUAUUUAAAGCAGCCAUAGGCACUAGGUUAAUGUUGGUAAUUGUCUAUGUUAUACGUUUGUAGCCUGUGUGUGCACUUACGUCUUUAGCUUCACGAUCGUUUGUUGUUUUGGUUUCAGUUUAUUAAAGUGUUCGUUGCGUGUUUUUUCCUUUUCUCUAAAAUAAAAGAGUAUGUAUUUUGCACACGCUGCGCCUUGGUCCACUCUCUCUUCACUAGACGAUCGUGACAAGGCAGCUCCUUGCUAAGAACGCGAGAAUGGAAACAGAAAAAAAUAUGGAAGAAAAACAAAGACAGGAGCUUGAGAAGGAAAGACAAAAAUUAAUAGAACACAAUAGACAGCGAGAGAAAGAUGAAAGGACAAGAAUUCAUCUGGAAAAAGAAAAAGGAGAUCAGAAAACUGUAUAAAAUGUAUCCAAAUAUUAAGAGACAAGGGCAUAAACUGUUUAAAUCAUCCACAUAAUGAAUUAUUAAACAAAGCACACAAUCAUUGUAUACCUUUAAUAUCCACAAUAUAACUGCUGUUUUAUUUUCCACAAAUUAUGUGCUUAAAGGGAUAGUUCACACAAAUGACAUAGUGGUUUAAUAACCCUGUUAGCCGUUUUUGUUUACCUGGCUGCUGUUACCAAAUGCUUUUUCAAAACCAAUGCAUGUCAAUAUCUGAGAAUCCUCUGUAGCUUUGCAAUAAAUAGAUCCUAUUGA